GACUCCAGGAUAAGCACAGCUGAAACUGUUUUGCAUGUUCAUCAUUUAAGGCUGUGUUCCAGAGUUAAGAUUGUCAGCUGGAAUGUUCUUCAAGUAAUACUUUACUUCCCCAAGAUAUGGCUCUUCACAUUGUUGAAUGUUGUCUUAAUACCUCUGCUUACAAAGACACCUCACCCUUUGGAAAAGUAAAAAAGAACAAUUGCAUCAAGUGUUUCAGUGGCUUAGAAGAUGUCU